AGUGAACGCUGGCGGUAGGCCUAACACAUGCAAGUCGAACGGCAGCACAAUGAAGCUUGCUUCUUAGGUGUCGAGCGUCGCACGGGUGCGUAACGUAUAUGCAACUGUCCUUUUUCGGGGGGGAAAACCUUGGAAAGCUGGCGCAAAUCUCCCAAAGCACCUACGGGGGAAAGCAGGGGAUCUGAGGACCUUGCGCGAUAGAAUGAGCAGAUGUCGGAUUAGCUUGUUGGUGGGGUAAAGGCCCACCAAGGCAACGAUCCGUAGCUGGUCUGAGAGGAUGAGCAGCCACACUGGAACGGAGACACGGCCCAGACCCCAACGGGAGGCAGCAGUGGAGAAUAUUGUACAAGUGGCUCAAGCCUGAUCCAGCCAUGCCGCGUGGAUGAAGAAGGCCUUCGGGUUUUAAAGCUCUUUUGUUGGGAAAGAAAAGCAGCAAGUUAAUACCCUGCCGCUCUGACGGUACCCUAAGAAUAAGCACCGGCUAACUUCGUG
rnacentral:rRNA from 1 species